CAUGAACGCUGGAGGCAGGCUUAACACAUGCACGUCGAGCGAGCGGCGGACGGGUGAGUAAUGUCUGGGAAACUGCCUGAUGGAGGGGGAUAACUACUGGAAAAGGUAGCUAAUACAGAAUACCAUCAGAUGUGCACAGAUGGGAUUAGCUAGUAGGGGGGGGAAUGGCUCACCUAGGCGACGAUACCUAGCUGGUCUGAGAGGCUGACCAGACAAACUGGAACUGAUACACGUUCCAGACUCCUACGGGAGGCAGCAGUGUGGAAUAUUGCACAAUGUGCGCAAGCCUGAUGCAGCCAUGCCGCUUGUGUGAAGAAGGCCUUCGGGUUGUAAGGCACUUUCAGCGAGGAGGCGUUGCUCGCAGAAGAAGCACCAGCUAGCUCCGUGCCAGCAGCCGCGGUAAUAC
rnacentral:rRNA from 1 species